UCUUUUAACUUUUCCUUUAAUAUUGCCUCCUCCAUCCCUCGGGACCAACAAUGGGUAGUACAGAAAUAUUCACCUGUUGUCCAUCGACUACGCCUUUUGACCUAAUCUUGGGCCCUUACUCACCUUUUGUAGAAUCUUGCGGAGGAACCGUUAGGUUUUUGAAGCAUUGGAUUCUUACCAAUGUUUGUGUUACUCAAGCCGACAUUCUCGCUUCCACUUUGUCCACCACUACUUGCGCAAGUGCUUCCCUCUAAGGCGGAACGCUGUCUUACUGAUGUAUUUUUACAUCCCACAGCUUCAAUAGAUCGCUUAGCCCCGUUCAUCUUCGGCGUUAGAGCGCUCGAUCCGUGAGCUAUUACACACUCUUUCAAGCGUGGCUGCUGCUUCUAGCUAAUUUCAUAUCUGGAUAGUAUUUAUUUCUUCGACGUUCAUUACAAUCGAUCUAAAUAUGACAAGAAUUCUCGAAUAAGUACGUACCAGCUCGUUCUGAUUUUGGAAGCAGUACAUGACGGUUUUAUUGUCAUAACACGUGUCGACAUCUGCAGCUUCUCUUCCUAUCUUAACAGAGUUUGAAUGAAGCCCACAAGUUACCCUCAAAUUACGGGCUAUUCUAUUCUAUUAUAUCGAGAUUUGUGACUUCUGCUGGCCACGUGACCCAUCAUGACAGACAUGUGACAUCUCUAUCGGUUUCGUAUCAAAAUCAGCUUAGCUUAGCUGAAUUCAAUCUGAAAAAAGGCUGUGAAUGGGGCAACGGGUGGCGCCUAAUAAUGCCCACUUGUAGCCCUCUACACCUAACUUGCGCAGCAACCCUCUGCACAAAUGACCUGUAAGUCCUCCCUGCCUCUUUUUAGCUUUAUAUUUUUACCUACAAAAUUAAUUAUUGCCA